UCCCUGGUGGCUCAGAAGGUAAAGCAUCUGCCUGCAAUGCAGGAGACCCAGACCCAGGUUCAAUCCCUGGGUUGGGAA
rnacentral:tRNA from 1 species